AUGAGGGGCCUCCGCUCCCCAUGCAUUCGUGCAAGCCUGCGUGCACCCAAGGGUCAAGGGGGGUCACCCCCGCAGUGGGGUUCACUCUCCCCGAGGUCUCCCCAGAGACAAAGGCCCCAGUCCCUCCCGNCCCGCCCCGCCCCCCCUUACCAGGGUUUUGGCUACGUUCCCCCUCUGGGUGAUGUUUUUGCUGUGCUUCUCGUUGGCCAUCCGGAUCCGCUGCUUGGCCACCAUGGCUGGGCGCUAGCCCCCGGCACGAGCCCCCGCGACCGCGACCCGGCGGCGGGCGACAGCGACAGCGACAGGGACAGGGCGGCCGCGGGCGCUGCAGGUGGCAGAUUUUAUUUAUUUAUUCAUGAGACAGAGAGAGGGAGAGGCAGGCUCCAUGCAGGGAGCCCGACGUGGGACUCCAUCCCUGGACUCCAGGAUCACACCAUGGGGCCAAAAGCAAGUGCUAAACUACUGAGCCACCCAGGGAUCCCCCCUGAAACCCGUUCUUAACUGAGAAGCCUGCCUUCCCACAGGCUCAGGGGUGCUAAAGCACCGGACCCACUAUCCUUGCCUGUCUCGAUUGUUGGGACUCUUAGGCCAGACUCCACCAGCCGCCGGCCCAGAGAAAGAGUUUGCAGUGGAGAACCACAGAAGGCCCAGCCACGGCGCUAGCAAACUGGUAAAUAAAAUACAUUAUUUUUAUACCUACCA
rnacentral:lncRNA from 1 species